UGGGGAAUUUUGCGCAAUGGGGGAAACCCUGACGCAGCAACGCCGCGUGGAGGAUGAAGCCCCUUGGGGUGUAAACUCCUUUCGAUCGGGAAGAUAAUGACGGUACCGAUAUAAGAAGCCCCGGCUAACUUCGUGCCAGCAGCCGCGGUAAUACGAGGGGGGCAAGCGUUGUUCGGAAUUACUGGGCGUAAAGCGCGUGUAGGCGGGUCUUUAAGUCAGGGGUGAAAUGCCAAGGCUCAACCUUGGAACUGCCUUUGAUACUGGAGAUCUUGAGUCCGGGAGAGGUGAGUGGAAUUGCGAGUGUAGAGGUGAAAUUCGUAGAUAUUCGCAAGAACACCAGUGGCGAAGGCGGCUCACUGGCCCGGAACUGACGCUGAGACGCGAAAGCGUGGGGAGCAAACAGGAUUAGAUACCCUGGUAGUCCACGCUGUAAACGAUGGAUGCUAGCCGUUGGGGAGCUUGCUCUUCAGUGGCGCAGCUAACGCUUUAAGCAUCCCGCCUGGGGAGUACGGUCGCAAGA
rnacentral:rRNA from 1 species